AAAUGAAUAGACGGGGGCCCGCACAAGCAGUGGAUUAUGUGGUUUAAUUCGAAGCAACGCGAAGAACCUUACCAGGUCUUGACAUCCCUGGAACGCGCUAGAGAUAGCAUGGUGCCCUUCGGGGAGCCAGGAGACAGGUGGUGCAUGGUUGUCGUCAGCUCGUGUCGUGAGAUGUUGGGUUAAGUCCCGCAACGAGCGCAACCCUUACCAUUAGUUGCUACGCAAGAGCACUCUAAUGGGACCGCUACCGACAAGGUGGAGGAAGGUGGGGAUGAGGUCAAAUCAUCAUGCCCCUUACGACCUGGGCCACACACGUAAUACAAUGGCCGUUAACAGCGUGAAGCAAAAUCGCGAGAUGGAGCAAAACACCAAAAACGGUCCCAGUUCGGAUCGCAGGCUGCAACCCGCCUGCGUGAAGUUGGAAUUGCUAGUAAUCGCGGAUCAGCAUGCCGCGGUGAAUACGUUCCCGGGCCUUGUACACACCGCCCGU
rnacentral:rRNA from 1 species